rnacentral:rRNA from 1 species
CAGCCGCCGCGGGAAUACGAAGGGGGCUAGCGUUGCUCGGAAUGACUGGGCGUAAAGGGCGCGUAGGCGGUUUUCCAAGUUAGAUGUGAAAUUCCUGGGCUUAACCUGGGGGCUGCAUUUGAUACUGGGAGGCUUGAGUGUGGAAGAGGGUCGUGGAAUUCCCAGUGUAGAGGUGAAAUUCGUAGAUAUUGGGAAGAACACCGGUGGCGAAGGCGGCGACCUGGUCCAUAACUGACGCUGAGGCGCGAAAGCGUGGGGAGCAAACAGGAUUAGAUACCCCCGUAGUCCCUGUCUCUUAUAC